rnacentral:rRNA from 1 species
GGGGGAUAGCCGUUGGAAACGACGAUUAAUACCGCAUGAGACCACAGAAUCGCAUGGGUAUAGGGGUCAAAGAUUUAUCGGUGUAAGAAGGGCUCGCGUCUGAUUAGCUAGUUGGAAGGGUAAAGGUCUACCAAGGCGACGAUCAAUAGCCGGUCUGAGAGGAUGAACGGCCACAUUGGA